CCUACGGGGGGCAGCAGUGGGGGAUAUUGCACAAUGGGGGGAACCCUGAUGCAGCGACGCCGCGUGGGUGAAGAAGGGCCUCGGCGCGUAAAGCCCUGUCAGCAGGGAAGAAAAUGACGGUACCUGAAGAAGAAGCCCCGGCUAACGACGUGCCAGCAGCCGCGGUAAGACGUAGGGGGCAAGCGUUAUCCGGAUUUACUGGGUGUACAGGGGGCGCAGCCGGCGAUGCAAGCCAGGAGUGAAAGCCCGGGGCCCCACCCCGGGACUGCUCGUGGAACUGCGUGGCUGGAGUGCAGGCGGGGCAGGCGGACUUCCUGGUGUAGCGGUGAACUGCGUAGAUAUCAGGAGGAACCCCGGUGGCGACGGCGGCCUGCUGUACUGCACCUGCCGUUGCGGCCCGCCAGCGUGGGGAGCAAACAGGAUUAGCUACCCCAGUAGUC
rnacentral:rRNA from 1 species